CCGGCCAGCCACCCCCUCCGGGAGGGAGGGGCGCCUCUGCCCGGCCGCCCCUACUGGGAAGUGAGGAGCCCCUCUGCCCGGCCACCACCCCGUCUGGGAGGUGUACCCAACAGCUCAUUGAGAAUGGGCCAUGAUGACAAUGGUGGUUUUGUGGAAUAGAAAGGGGGGAAAGGUGGGGAAAAGAUUGAGAAAUCGGAUGGUUGCCGUGUCUGUGUAGAAAGAGGUAGACAUGGGAGACUUUUAAUUUUGUUCUGUACUAAGAAAAAUUCUUCUGCCUUGGGAUCCUGUUGAUCUGUGACCUUACCCCCAACCCUGUGCUCUCUGAAACAUGUGCUGUGUCCACUCAGGGUUAAAUGGAUUAAGGGCGGUGCAAGAUGUGCUUUGUUAAACAGACGCUUGAAGGCAGCAUGCUCGUUCAGAGUCAUCACCACUCCCUAAUCUCAAGUACCCAGGGACACAAACACUGCGGAAGGCCGCAGGGUCCUCUG
rnacentral:lncRNA from 10 species